GUCCCUGUAGAACAAUGGAUCACGUUUUGAACUUAUAAUUCAAGGGUAGUGGGUACGAAUCCCACCUGAGACG